rnacentral:rRNA from 1 species
AGAGUUUGAUCCUGGCUCAGAUUGAACGCUGGCGGCAUGCCUUACACAUGCAAGUCGAACGGCAGCAUGAUCUAGCUUGCUAGAUUGAUGGCGAGUGGCGAACGGGUGAGUAAUACAUCGGAACGUGCCCUGUAGUGGGGGAUAACUAGUCGAAAGAUUAGCUAAUACCGCAUACGACCUGAGGGUGAAAGUGGGGGACCGCAAGGCCUCAUGCUAUAGGAGCGGCCGAUGUCUGAUUAGCUAGUUGGUGAGGUAAAGGCUCACCAAGGCGACGAUCAGUAGCUGGUCUGAGAGGACGAUCAGCCACACUGGGACUGAGACACGGCCCAGACUCCUACGGGAGGCAGCAGUGGGGAAUUUUGGACAAUGGGCGAAAGCCUGAUCCAGCAAUGCCGCGUGUGUGAAGAAGGCCUUCGGGUUGUAAAGCACUUUUGUCCGGAAAGAAAUGGCUCUGGUUAAUACCUGGGGUCGAUGACGGUACCGGAAGAAUAAGGACCGGCUAACUACGUGCCAGCAGCCGCGGUAAUACGUAGGGUCCAAGCGUUAAUCGGAAUUACUGGGCGUAAAGCGUGCGCAGGCGGUUGUGCAAGACCGAUGUGAAAUCCCCGAGCUUAACUUGGGAAUUGCAUUGGUGACUGCACGGCUAGAGUGUGUCAGAGGGGGGUAGAAUUCCACGUGUAGCAGUGAAAUGCGUAGAGAUGUGGAGGAAUACCGAUGGCGAAGGCAGCCCCCUGGGAUAACACUGACGCUCAUGCACGAAAGCGUGGGGAGCAAACAGGAUUAGAUACCCUGGUAGUCCACGCCCUAAACGAUGUCAAC